GUGGCAUGCGGGAGCUAGAAUGCAGUCGAACGGGCUGUUUAUGCAGCCAGUGGCGGACGGGUGAGUAACACGUAGGUGACCUACCCCAAAGUCUGGGACAACUAGGAGAAAUCUUAGCUAAUCCUGGAUGUGGACAUCUACUUUGGUGGAUGUUUAAAGCUUCGGCGCUUUGGGAUGGGCCUGCGGCGCAUCAGGUAGUUGGUGGGGUAAUGGCCUACCAAGCCGACGACGCGUAGCUGGUCUGAGAGGACGAUCAGCCACAGGGGUACUGAGACACGGACCCCACUCCUACGGGAGGCAGCAGUUAGGAAUCUUCCGCAAUGGGCGAAAGCCUGACGGAGCGAUACCGCUUGAAGGACGAAGCCCUUCGGGGUGUAAACUUCUGAACUCGGGACGAUAAUGACGGUACCGAGGUAAUAGCACCGGCUAACUCCGUGCCAGCAGCCGCGGUAAUACGGAGGGUGCGAGCGUUACCCGGAUUUACUGGGUGUAAAGGGCGUGUAGGCGGUCUCUCAAGUCCGAUGCUAAAGACCGAAGCUCAACUUCGGGGGUGCGUUGGAUACUGUGAGGCUAGACGGUCGGAGAGGGUAGCGGAAUUUCCGGAGUAGCGGUGAAAUGCGCAGAUACCGGAAGGAACGCC
rnacentral:rRNA from 1 species